AUUUUCUAGGAAAUAAAGGGUUUUGUUUUGAAAUCUUAUACCAACUUUUUUGUUUCCAGUUACAUAUGACCUACACUUACUAUAAAGAAAAGACACUCUAACACUGGUUCUUCUCCCAGAUUUAUUGUGCUCUAUGGACCUGACAGCAGUGUCAUCUGUUAGAUAUAUUAUACUGCCUGCAAAUACUGCACACAGUUUUAUGGGCCAGUAAAGUGUUGUUGUCAUUUAAAGCUAAUCCUUUAGAAAAUACCAAAAUCCUAACAAGCUAAAUUCAACACUUUCCUGAAGCUGUAAUACAACUUAUAAUAACAUAGAAAUUAAAGAAAGAAAUGAUUUAAGGUGUAUGCAAUGUUUGUAAGUUGUUUUCUGGAAAAUUCCUGGACUGGGUUCGUAAGGAACAGACGAACACAUGCUGUCAAACUGUAGUAGGUGAAACUUAUCGAUCGUGUUUUAUAGCUAGCCCGCCAGUAUACAGCGCAUAUACCACUAAUACUACAAAUCCCAGAAUGCUUUGCUAGUGAUUUGGCGCGUUAGGACGUACUUUAAAGAGCAAACUACAGAAGGUAGAGGAGAAGUCAGGUGUCGCAGUUAACUGUGUUCACAAAAACAAAACCACAAACUGAGGCUGCUGUAAAGACUACUUUUACUGUGGCAGCAGUGACCAGUCCAGCUCUGGUCAAGAGUUUGUCAAAAAAGUGCGUGGUCAAAGUUUGAAACAUUGUGUGUCCGGAUUAAAAGCAAUCAUUUUAAAAUGCGUGCCUGAGGGGAAACACCGUGGCUGGUGGAAAAUAGGAAAAUAUUUUAUCGCAUUCUCCCUUGCUGUACGUGAGAGCAGCGACACGUCUGAUACUGGCCAGCUGUCAAUCUUCACACAUGGAGUGGACUCGAGUCUGUGCGGAACUUCUGGAACGAAAACCAAUGCAUGGCACAAACACGGGAAAAUAACUACACCUGUGGGACUAACGGCGGUCAAAGGAGUGGACUGGUGGGCAGGACCACGCAGCGCAGAGUCAAUGAGCCUGUACAUUGGAGGCUGGCACAGCUGGUGGGAGCAGGAGCCUAACAUCUGGACCCUCGUACUCCUGGUGCCAUUGUUAAUAAGAGGCUGGUGGGAAGAGGAGAAGUGAGGAGAGGAGUGGAGGAGACGGCUCUUCAGUGUCAAUGAACCUCCCUGUCUUCCACUGCAGCUCUUCCAUACAACUCCACGUGGAGUCCGUACCAAAGUGUCCAGCUUCCACCGUGUACUGUCCACUGAGACAGAGGUGAGUCUGUCUGUCUGUCUGUCCGUCUGUCUGUCUGUCUGUCAGGUUGGUCCCGACAAGUGCAGUUAAACUGGUCACAUCGUCAACAACGGCGCCGUGACACAGAAAUGGCCGUCGUCUCCUUCUGGCAGACUAACAUUAGAGAUGACAUUUUUAGAUGAUGGUUAUUUUCAUAGACUGGCUUCACUUCUACUGCAUGAACUGCCAAGACAUUUUGAGGCAGGCGGUACAUUUCAGCAGUGUAUUUGAGUUCAUUUUUUUCUCACGAUGUUUAAUCGUAUUUUAUAUAUAUAUAUUGCAGCAGUGUAAAUGAUCAGAACGCGUGGUAUAUUUGAAAAACAAACUCUUCACAUAUGUCAAAACACGACCGCAGCGUAGUAUUAUUAUUAUGAUUAUGAGUAUUAGCAGGUAAGAGUCCUAAUUAAACACAUCAAUUUACUCAUAAUUAAACUACUGUAUAACUUAAUGAUUUCAAUCAUAGCUUAUUAACCUCAACCACAGCAGGUGAGAAUGAGCAGCUGGGAAAAUGUUUAGUGAGGGGGGGGUUGGUACGGUGCAAUGUGAUUUGGGUGGCGACUGCUGCCCCCGCGACCUGGUAACGGAUAAGCAGGUGAAAAUGGAUGGAUGGAUGGAUGGUAAUACAUGGUUUUUAGAAAUUCUUUCUAACAUUUAUUUGAAGUAAGGUGGAGUGGGAACAACGAACUGCAUAUCAACUUGUCCUAAUACGUUAUCUGAUUUGUAGAAACUCUGAAAAGCAGCAGCGUAUGUGUGGCUUCCCCUUAUCCUACCAACAGGGGUGAGAGACGUAGACAAACACAUUAAGUCGGCCAUUAGUUUCAUCUGAUCACCUGGGCCAACAGGGGGACGGACAGCUUGGCAGAGCAUGAGUCUUACACAAAUAUACAGGCGGUGCAUUUGUGCCAUGCCAGAGGAGAAUUUCAAACAGUGGGCUUUUAAAGCAGUGUAAGAGAGUGCAGCGGUGCAAGGGGGCAAUUUUCCAUCUUUCUGCUGCCCCGACAAAUAUGCCUGCACGUCUUUUUGCUUUCUCUCCUCCCCGCGCUUCGUCAGCGAACAGCUAUAGAAAUAUUUUGGCAGCCUCCACUUUGUUUUCAUUUCCACAAAAGAGUUGGAAAAAGAACCAGAGGGCGGGGGUGAAAAGGGUUUGAGGGGGGAAUUGUGGAGUAGGAUUUGGGGCAAAUGUGCAAAAGUAGGGGUAGUAAAGAGUGGAGGAAAGCAGAUGGAAAGCAGUGCAAGUUGUGGCCGAGAAGAAGAAAAAAAA